CCUACGGGUGGCAGCAGUGGGGAAUAUUGCGCAAUGGGCGAAAGCCUGACGCAGCGACGCCGCGUGAGGGAUGGAGGUCUUCGGAUCGUUAACCUCUGUCAGUAGGGAAGAACGGUCACUGUGCUAAUCAGCAGUGAAUUGACGGUACCUGCAAUGGACGCACCGGCUAACUCCGUGCGAGCAGCCGCGGUAAUACGGAGGGUACGAGCGUUAAUGGGAAUUACUGGGCGUAAAGAGCUCGUGGGCGGUAUGGCAAGUCGAGGGUGAAAUCCCCGGGCUCAACGUGGGAACUGCCUUUGAAACUGGCAAACUAGAGUGUUGGAGAGGAUAGUGGAAUUCCCGGUGUAGGAGUGAAAUCCGUAGAUAUCUGGAGGAACAUCAGUGGCGAAGGCGACUUCCUGGAACAUAACUGACGCUGAGGAGCGAAAGCGUGGGUAGCAAACAGGAUUAGAUACCCUUGUAGUC
rnacentral:rRNA from 1 species